rnacentral:rRNA from 1 species
AUUGAACGCUAGCGGGAGGCUUAACACAUGCAAGUCGAACGAGCGGCGGACGGGUGAGUAAUGUAUGGGAAAGCGCCCGGUAGAGGGGGAUAAAUACGCGAAAGGGUAGCUAAUACCGCAUACUAUCAGAGGGGCCGAGAUGGGAUUAGCUAGUUGGUGGGGUAAUGGCUCACACAGGCAACGAGCCGUAGCUGGUUUGAGAGGACGACCAGCCACACUGGAACUACGACACGGCCCAGACUCCCACGGGAGGCAGCAGUGGGGAAUGUUGGACAAUGGGCGAAACCCUGAUACAGCCAUGCCGCGUUUGUGAUGAAGGCCUUCGGGUUGUAAAGUACUUUCAGCGGGGAGGCGUUACUCGCAGAAUAAGCACCGGCUAACUCCGUGCCAGCAGCCGCGGUAAUUC